UACGGGGGGGGCAAGCGUUGUUCGGAAUUACUGGGCGUAAAGCGCACGUAGGCGGCUUUGCAAGUUAGAGGUGAAAGCCCGGGGCUCAACUCCGGAAUUGCCUUUAAAACUGCAUCGCUAGAAUUGUGGAGAGGUAAGUGGAAUUCCGAGUGUAGAGGUGAAAUUCGUAGAUAUUCGGAAGAACACCAGUGGCGAAGGCGACUUACUGGACACAUAUUGACGCUGAGGUGCGAAAGCGUGGGGAGCAAACAGGG
rnacentral:rRNA from 1 species